UACGUAGGGUGCGAGCGUUAAUCGGAAUUACUGGGCGUAAAGCGUGCGCAGGCGGUCUUGUAAGCCAGAUGUGAAAUCCCCGGGCUUAACCUGGGAACUGCGUUUGAAACUGGGAGACUGGAGUGUGGCAGAGGGGGGUGGAAUUCCACGUGUAGCAGUGAAAUGCGUAGAUAUGUGGAGGAACACCGAUGGCGAAGGCAGCCCCCUGGGUUAACACUGACGCUCAUGCACGAAAGCGUGGGGAGCAAACAGG
rnacentral:rRNA from 1 species